rnacentral:rRNA from 1 species
GAGUUUGAUCGUGGCUCAGAUUGAACGCUGGCGGCAGGCCUAACACAUGCAAGUCGAGCGGUAGAGAGAAGCUUGCUUCUCUUGAGAGCGGCGGACGGGUGAGUAAUGCCUAGGAAUCUGCCUGGUAGUGGGGGAUAACGUUCGGAAACGGACGCUAAUACCGCAUACGUCCUACGGGAGAAAGCAGGGGACCUUCGGGCCUUGCGCUAUCAGAUGAGCCUAGGUCGGAUUAGCUAGUUGGUGAGGUAAUGGCUCACCAAGGCGACGAUCCGUAACUGGUCUGAGAGGAUGAUCAGUCACACUGGAACUGAGACACGGUCCAGACUCCUACGGGAGGCAGCAGUGGGGAAUAUUGGACAAUGGGCGAAAGCCUGAUCCAGCCAUGCCGCGUGUGUGAAGAAGGUCUUCGGAUUGUAAAGCACUUUAAGUUGGGAGGAAGGGCAGUUACCUAAUACGUGAUUGUUUGACGUUACCGACAGAAUAAGCACCGGCUAACUCUAGUGCCAGCACG